ensembl:lncRNA
CGUUGUGGGGUAUUGUGUCGUUGUGGGUAUUGUUGUCGUUGUGGGGUAUAGUGUCAUUGUGGGAUAUAGUGUCGUUGUGGGGUACAGUGUCGUUGUACAGUGUCGUUGUGGGGUAUUGUGUCGUUGUGGGGUAUUGUGUCAUUGUGGGGUAUAGUGUGGGGUAUAGUGUCGUUGUGUGGUAUAGUGUCAUUGUGGGGUACAGUGUCGUUGUGAGGUACAGUGUCGUUGUGGGGUACAGUGUCGUUGUGGGGUAUUGUGUCGUUGUGGGGUAUAGUGGGGUAUAGUGUCGUUGUGGGGUAUAGUGUCGUUGUGGGGUA